UGGGGCGUAGCCAAGUGGUAAGGCAUCGGGUUUUGAUCUCGUGUACCGUAGGUUCGAAUCCUACCGCCCCAGCCA
rnacentral:tRNA from 2 species